CUUGGCGACCAUAGCACUUUGGACCCACCUGAUUUCCAUUCCGAACUCAGAAGUGAAACGAAGUAGCGUCGAUGGUAGUGUGGGGCUUCCCCAUGU
rnacentral:rRNA from 2 species